GGUCGGCGGAAGGCGGAAGUGCUCGCGGCGUCACGUGACCUGAGUAACAUGGCCGCGGCCCAGUGAGCGUUGCCGGUUCCUGGCGGGAGCUGGUCGCGUGAGCCGUGGGGCGGACCGGGUCGCGCGUGGGAGAGCAGGGUCGGAGCAGGGGGACCCGAGGCGGCGCGUGGCGGCGGGACGAGGCAGGCGGGCCCUGGGCGGCAUAGCCCAUGAGCAGGCUCCGGUGUCCGCGCGGAGCCGCACACUCCCCCGGCCCUGGCACGGCCCAGGCAACCUCGGGCUAAGGUGUCUGGAGGCUCCCAGGCGCAGCGCGAGCUGCCACCAUGAACCCAGAGAAGGAUUUUGCGCCGCUCACUCCCAACAUCGUAAGGGCCCUGAAUGAUAAACUCUACGAAAAGCGGAAGGUUGCAGCGCUGGAGAUCGAGAAGCUGGUGCGGGACUUUGUGGCCCAGAACAACACCAUGCAAAUCAAGCACGUGAUCCAGACCCUGUCUCAGGAGUUUGCCCUGUCCCAGCACCCCCACAGCCGGAAAGGGGGCCUCAUCGGUCUGGCAGCCUGCUCUAUUGCCCUAGGCAAGGACUCAGGGCUCUACCUGAAGGAGCUGAUAGAGCCAGUGCUGACCUGCUUUAAUGACGCAGACAGCAGGCUGCGCUACUACGCUUGUGAGGCCCUCUACAAUAUCGUCAAAGUGGCCCGAGGUGCCGUGCUGCCGCACUUCAAUGUUCUCUUCGAUGGACUGAUUGGCUGCUGACCCAGACCCCAAUGUGAAAAGUGGAUCUGAGCUCCUGGACCGCCUCUUAAAGGACAUUGUGACAGAAAGCAGCAAGUUUGACCUGGUGAGCUUCAUCCCCCUUUUGCGGGAGAGGAUUUACUCCAACAACCAAUACGCCCGACAGUUCAUCAUCUCCUGGAUCCUGGUUCUGGUGUCGGUGCCAGACAUUAACCUGCUGGAUUACCUGCCAGAGAUCCUAGAUGGGCUCUUCCAGAUCCUGGGUGACAAUGGCAAGGAGAUUCGGAAAAUGUGUGAGGUGGUUCUUGGAGAGUUCUUGAAAGAAAUUAAGAAGAACCCAUCCAGUGUGAAGUUUGCUGAGAUGGCCAACAUCCUGGUGAUCCACUGCCAGACCACAGAUGACCUGAUUCAGCUGACGGCUAUGUGCUGGAUGCGGGAAUUCAUCCAGCUGGCGGGCCGGGUAAUGCUGCCCUAUUCCUCUGGGAUCCUGACUGCUGUCCUGCCAUGCUUGGCCUAUGAUGACCGCAAGAAAAGUAUCAAGGAGGUGGCCAAUGUGUGUAACCAGAGCUUGAUGAAGCUGGUCACCCCUGAGGAUGAUGAACCCGAUGAGCCAAAGUCAGUAGCACAGAAGCAGACCGAACCCAACCCUGAGGAUUCCCUGCCAAAGCAGGAGGGGACAGCCAGUGGAGGUCCAGGUUCCUGUGACUCCAGCUUUGGAAGUGGCAUCAAUGUCUUCACCUCAGCCAACACUGAUAGGGCUCCAGUGACCCUGCACCUGGACGGGAUUGUUCAAGUCCUGAACUGUCACCUUAGUGACACAACCAUUGGGAUGAUGACCAGGAUUGCUGUUCUGAAGUGGCUCUACCAUCUCUACAUCAAAACUCCUCGAAAGAUGUUCCGGCACACAGACAGCCUCUUCCCCAUCUUACUUCAGACAUUAUCUGACGAAUCUGAUGAGGUUGUCUUGAAGGAUCUGGAAGUGUUGGCAGAAAUUGCUUCCUCCCCUGCAGGCCAGACGGAUGACCCAGGUGCACCUGAUGGCCCUGACCUCCGAGUCAACCACUCGGAGCUUCAGGUGCCCACCUCCGGCAGAGCCAACCUACUAAACCCUCCCAGUACCAAAGGCUUAGAAGGCUCCCCCUCCACUCCCACCAUGAACUCCUACUUUUACAAGUUCAUGAUCAACCUUCUACAGACGUUCAGCAGUGAACGGAAGCUCCUGGAGGCCAGAGGCCCGUUCAUCAUCAGGCAGCUCUGCCUCCUGCUGAAUGCAGAGAACAUCUUCCAUUCAAUGGCAGACAUCCUGCUUCGGGAGGAGGACCUCAAGUUCGCGUCCACCAUGGUGCACACCCUCAACACCAUCCUGCUCACCUCCACCGAGCUCUUCCAGCUGAGGAACCAGCUCAAGGACCUGCAGACCCCGGUACUCCCUCUGACCCAGCACUAGGCAGCCAGCUCACCCCUCAGCCGCUCCCAGGAGGAGACGGGAAAGCCAGAACCUCUUCUGCUGCCUGUACCGCUCCUGGUGCCACAACCCAGUCACCACCGUGUCCCUCUGCUUCCUCACCCAGAACUACCGCCACGCCUAUGACCUCAUCCAGAAGUUUGGGGACCUGGAAGUCACAGUGGAUUUCCUCACAGAGGUGGACAAACUCGUGCAGCUAAUUGAGUGCCCCAUCUUUACAUAUCUACGCCUGCAACUGCUGGACGUGAAGAACAACCCAUACCUGAUCAAGGCCCUGUACGGCCUGCUCAUGCUGUUGCCCCAGAGCAGUGCCUUCCAGCUGCUCUCUCACCGGCUCCAGUGUGUGCCCAACCCUGAGCUGCUGCAGACUGAAGACUGUCUGAAAGCGGCCCCCAAGUCCCAGAAAGGUGACUCCCCCAGCAUCGACUACACAGAGCUGCUGCAGCACUUUGAAAAAGUCCAGAAACAGCACCUGGAAGUAAGACACCAGCGCAGUGGGCGAGGGGAUCACCUGGACCGCAGAGUUAUCCUCUGAUGUGCCUAGCAUGGAAAAGGGCCCUAGUGGCCUAAGAAGCACUCAGGGUCUCUAAGCUGAGGCCACAAGGAGCCUAAGAACCUGCCUCCAGCAGGGCUGGACCCAACCACCAGCCAGGGUAGGGAGGGGGAUGGUAUUGGCUCUGUCAGCCUCAGCUCCUCCCAGCAGAGCACCUGGACCCCAGCACUGUCAGCUACACUCUGUCCUGGGACCGAUGGAUUCUCUCCUGAGUCGGGACUACAGCCUCAGAAUCCAGAAGCAGCCUCUUUCUAAUCCCUGUCUGUGAGAAGAGCUUGACCUUGGCCCCAGAGCACUGGCAUGGUGUGUGUGCAUAUGUACAUCUGUGUGGAAAUGCACACAGGCCAGCACAAAGACCUCUACAGAAUGAUGUCCAUCCCUGCCCCAAUAAAGAAAUCACAGAAUCCUUAA